CUGAUGUGUACAGAUAAGCUUCUGCAAGCACAUUCGCAAGUGGGGUCAUUUUUGUAAGGGUACUGCCUAUAGUAGAUCUACUGUGGUACUGCCUAUAGUAGAUCUACUGUGUGCCGGGUGUUGACUCCCAGGAGCAACCAAUGAUAACAGCUGCAGCGACAAUAGUAUCCGCAACUUCAUCGCGUCAGAAGUUGAACUGAUGAUGCCGUUUGACUUGCCGAUACGCGGAUGGUGUUUUCAGUUCAACUUGUGGCCGGGUGCACGCGGCCUCUACCGGCGUAACUAACAGACCGAACUGUACUUGAAUGGCUUGACCGUGCACGUGGAGUCGUAAGACUUCGGACCCGAUGACGCAAUCGAAAGGGAAGAUCCAGGACGAAUUACAUCCUCCAUCGAUGUUCCGCCUGUCAUAAUAUUGGAGGAUUCUCCUGGUUAUAAAUGUAAGUUUCGUGGGUUAGAGAGGAGUGGAAGCGGACAGCCUUAAGUUGAAGAUUUAGAUUUAAAAGAACUUAUCAAUUAAUACAAAUAAGAAUGGGAAACAUUGCGGAAAACUUUUGCAAGAACUUACCACAUUUAAUACCAAUAUUCUAUUGGUGCAGGAAACGGAAUAGCUCACAGGUGAAGUAAAUGACAUACAUAUGGUUGUAAUGCAUAGCUCUAACUACCAGCAAGUUAACAGGAAACAGGAGUGGAGUGGUACACUUAUUUGCAUAAACUUGCUUACACCGCCUGCUUUCGCCAAACAAAAGAUUUUCUUUUCCAGAUUCUUUGCUGAAAGAGGAAUCCUCGUACCUGAAAAUACCUGAAACUGGAGAGUUGAAGAUGAAAUUAAAGUCCGCCUCUUCCUCUUCCUACAGAUAAACUUCACCCUUUUCGA